UGGCAUUUGCAACGCCAGGGUUGUGGAUUUGAUUGCCACAGGAUAAAAGUAUGAAAAAUGUACAUACUCACUCAGUCGCUCUGGAUAAAAUUGUCUACUAAAUGACUAAGAUGCAUAGAUCGACUGCCUGCUCCUUACAAUGGGAUGGUGGUUCCUGGCGCCGUCCCCCGUUACACCCCUCCACCUCCCCUGGACAUCGAUGGGUCCCCUGCCUAUGCCAUCAGGUCUCUACUGGACUCCCGACGUCGUGGGGGUCGGCUUCAGUACCUGGUGGACUGGGAGGGGUAGAGGAGCGAUGUUGGGUUCCGGCAACCGGCUCAUCGAUGUUGGGUUAAGAGGAGCGAUGAGGAGCGAUGUUGGGUUUCGGCGGCCGACAUCCUGGAUCCCAACAUUAUCCAAGAUUUCCAUUUCCGGCAACCGGCCCGAUCCUCGCCCUUGGGGCCGUCCUCCUGGCCGGCGUCGUCCUGUGGCUGGAGCUGUGCUGGGGGUGGGAUACUGUCACACCUACUCCCGUUCCCUCUCUCUGGUGCUCGACAUCGCCAGUCUACUAACCACCGGUCCGGCAACCCAGAUAACUCACACCUGGCAACCAUCAUUACGCACACCUGCUCCCCAUCGUUAUGCACAACUGGACUUCAUCAUUACCUUGAUUACUUCCCCUUUAUUUAUCCCUGUAGCUUCAGUCUUCAGGCAGUGUUGGUUUUGUUCACGUUCGGUACGCUUCUUCUGUUUUGUUUAUCUGCUUAUUCUCAUUAUUAAACUCACCUUCUGCACCUGC